rnacentral:rRNA from 1 species
AGUGAACGCUGGCGGUAGGCCUAACACAUGCAAGUCGAACGGCAGCACAGAGGAGCUUGCUCCUUGGGUGGCGAGUGGCGGACGGGUGAGGAAUACAUCGGAAUCUACUCUGUCGUGGGGGAUAACGUAGGGAAACUUACGCUAAUACCGCAUACGACCUACGGGUGGAAGCAGGGGAUCUUCGGACCUUGCGCGAUUGAAUGAGCCGAUGUCGGAUUAGCUAGUUGGCGGGGUAAAGGCUGACCAAGGCGAUGAUCGGUAGCUGGUCUGAGAGGAUGGUCAGCCACACUGGGACUGAGACACGGCCCAGACUCCUACGGGAGGCAGCAGUGGGGAAUAUUGGACAAUGGGGGCAACCCUGAUCCAGCAACGCCGCGUGUGUGAAGAAGGUCUUCGGGUUGUAAAGCACUUUAGGUUGGGAAGAAGGUGUAUUGUUUAAGAGAUGGUACAUUUGACUGUACUAACAGAAUAAGCACCGGCUAACUCUGUGCCAGCAGCCGCCGUAA